GACGAACGCUGGCGGCGUGCCUAAUACAUGCAAGUAGAACGCUGAAGGAGGAGCUUGCUCUUCUGGAUGAGUUACGAACGGGUGAGUAACGCGUAGGUAACCUGCCUGGUAGCGGGGGAUAACUAUUGGAAACGAUAGCUAAUACCGCAUAACAGUAGAUGUUGCAUGACAUUUACUUAAAAGGUGCAAUUGCAUCACUACCAGAUGGACCUGCGUUGUAUUAGCUAGUUGGUGGGGUAACGGCUCACCAAGGCGACGAUACAUAGCCGACCUGAGAGGGUGAUCGGCCACACUGGGACUGAGACACGGCCCAGACUCCUACGGGAGGCAGCAGUAGGGAAUCUUCGGCAAUGGACGGAAGUCUGACCGAGCAACGCCGCGUGAGUGAAGAAGGUUUUCGGAUCGUAAAGCUCUGUUGUAAGAGAAGAACGAGUGUGAGAGUGGAAAGUUCACACUGUGACGGUAUCUUACCAGAAAGGGACGGCUAACUACGUG
rnacentral:rRNA from 1 species